rnacentral:misc_RNA from 1 species
AACUUGACUCCGCCUCAUCAUGUGUCAGUUUGCUCCAAGCAGCAGUCAUCUUCGACCUUUCAACUGGGAACUGGGUUGAGUGGUUUCCGCACUGAGACUGGAAGCAGUAGUGAUUCUAUUGAGGAUGCUUCCUUCACACAUAGUUUUAGUGAUCAUUCUGAGAAUUCAGAAUUUACAUUCUCAGCAGGUCAAUGUUAAUGAGUGUCUCGUGGAAAGUCAUCUAGAUGGUACUUCCUUAAAAGGUCAGCCACCCAUGGAAUCACUAUCCGCUGAUGCACUACUCACAAGCAAUGUGGGUCAGGAUACUGGAAAUCUGCAUUCAGAAUCAGAGACCGUAGCAGAUGCAAGUAUCGAAGGCUAUACAGCUGAGUCUGGUCCUGAUGUUUCUGGUCCCUUAGUAAAUUCUCAACCACUUCCAACAUUUCUCUUAUCUUUGGGGGAACAAGGUCCAAUAGGCAUGGGCGUGCUCUUGGUUGAUGUGGUGAGUAUACAUUCCAA